rnacentral:misc_RNA from 1 species
UCGUACAAACUACUGGGGAAGACAGACAGUUUUUUGACGUAUACUGCAACGAAACAUAUUUUAUGACGCCACUAGUGCUACAAAUUUACAUUUUUAUGUAUCGUACCGAAGGCUCGACAAGACAGACAAACUUUGACGAAACGCAACAUAUUGUAUGAUGUAACUAUUAAAAAGCGGGGUGAAAGUCAAACGUUAGUUGUAUUUACGUAGUGGUACAACCUUGUAUUUCUAUGAAACCUGAGUUUAACCAGGAUAAAUUAAGAACUUGUCCAUUUUAUGGAGUAAUGAUAUUAACUUUGAGCCUCCAAAAUUGCAUCUCCAUCAAUUAUAAUGCAAUUUAUAAUGUAGAAAUGUUUAACAAAAAAUAUUCCUUUUAAACCUUUUUUAUCUGAUAGAUAAUGGUAAAAAAGAGAUUUUGAUACAGAAAUCCUGUCUCUAAUUUCACAAUUAUGAAAGUUAUGACCCAUUUAUAAUGGGAUUUUCAUUUCUUUUUUUCUUUCCUUCUGUUGAUGUUAUAACUUACACCAAAAUCGGUGAUCUAAUAUGACAUUUCAAUAAAACAACACAACUUUCUUAAAUUUCAAUAAAAUUCAAUGAAUUUUUCAGGAAUUAAAGAAUAUGUAUAAUACUGUGCAAAAAAAAAAGCUUUUUUUAAAUACCUGCAAUUGAAAAAAAUAAUUAAUAAUAUGUCAAAGUACAUUCAUAUAGCAAUGUAAUGAGGAUUGAAGAUGCUAAUUUUGGGUUGAAAUAAAUGUAUUUUCCAUCAAGAAAUUGAUUAAAAACUUUACAAAGAAAUGUUUUAGUGUCCAUUAGAAUUUGUAUUUGAUUUAUUUUACCCUAUCCGUGUUAGUGAAGACUAUUUUUAGAGAAUUUAUUUAUGAGCAAAUGUUGCAUUUAAACGUGUUGAAAUUUUUUGAAACUGUAUGAAAGAUUAAAAAUUUAUCUACGUUAAAUAUGAAUGACUUCAAAUUGAUUUUCCCCGUCUAACUAAUAAAAUAAAGCAUUUCUGAUGGGAUCCUCAAAACAGUUCGGGGGUCAGCGCACGCCUACUCCAUUUUUUUCUCACCACAAAUCACUAUUGUUUAACAUAUGUACCCAUAUAAUGAAAACUGAAUACGCUCUAAACAAUAUCAUUUACGAUUGUAAAAUAUGGAUUUUUUUUUUUUGCAGAGGGCUUUAUGUUAAGUAUCAAAGUGUAACAUUACUUUUAUUUUUUGCUAGACUACCAAGGAUGACUUUUUUUGUUCAUACAAAGCACUUUUGGUAAGCCUAUUGAUCACAAAUAUUUUUCUAUGGAUUCUUUUUAUACUCAUAAGAAUCAACAAUGAUUCCGAAAUGGACUUGCAAGAUAAAAUAAAGGAGGAAUCGAGCCCUUCAACCAAAAGAUUUAACCAUAAUUCAAAUUUUGGUGAUGAAGCACAAAUAAACAAUGUAUUAAGUCCACAGAAUCAUUUUAAAUCCUCAGUUCCGGAGGGAAUUCGAAUUGUCAUAGGUAUUCCAUCUUCGAUGAGAAGGAGUGAAAACUAUUUAUUUCAAACACUGAAGACAUUAUUUAAGGAUAAGGAUAUUUUGACGAAUAAAUACUUGAUUAUUGUUAUGUUAUCUACUUUUAACCAUACAUGGAGAACUUCAGUGAAGUUCAAUAUACUCAGCAACUUUUCAAACCAAAUUAACUCUGGGAUUCUUCAAGUUAUCUUGCCAGAGAACAAUGUUCAAAGCCUUCUACAAUAAGAUUCCGUGUGAUUGGGUUUUGGAGCUGUUCAGUAUAGGAAAGUCUUUUAACUGCGUCACCAAUAAAGGAUCAAGAUACAUGACAGCUGCGAGGAACACUACGUGCAUGUCAAAACUUUUUCCAACAAUAAAUAAUUCCUUAUUUCAACACAUUGGGAGGGAGUCUUCUCUUUUUGGAAAGGUUCAGAAUGCAAUUGAUAAUACCUUCAGGGAUUAAUAAAAGCUGGAAGAGCUGUAGUCCCUCUCCCAAGUAUCCAUAUUUCCCAAAAAUAUAUUUCUUCAUAUUUUUUUUAAAUACUAUUUCUAUGACUAGAAAGAGAUAUUUGAUUUUUUUUUUCCAAAAAAAUUAAUUUUUUGUGGGUGA